rnacentral:rRNA from 1 species
UACGGUGGGAGCAAGCGUUGUUCGGAUUUACUGGGCGUAAAGGGCGCGUAGGCGGCACUGCAAGUCAGUUGUGAAAUCUCCGGGCUUAACCCGGAAAGGUCAACUGAUACUGCAGGGCUAGAGUGCAGAAGGGGCAACUGGAAUUCCCGGUGUAGCGGUGAAAUGCGCAGAUAUCGGGAAGAACACCCGUGGCUAAGGCGGCUCUCUAGUACGGUACUGACGCUGAGACGCGAAAGCGUGGGGAGCGAACCGG